rnacentral:misc_RNA from 1 species
CCUAGGAGCGGACUUGUCCGCGAAGGCCAUCUCACGUCUUGGAAUCUUUGUGAAUAGUUUUCGCGGACAAGUCCGCUCCCACG